rnacentral:rRNA from 1 species
UACGGAGGAUCCGAGCGUUAUCCGGAUUUAUUGGGUUUAAAGGGUGCGUAGGUGGCCUGUUAAGUCAGGGGUGAAAGACGGUAGCUCAACUAUCGCAGUGCCCUUGAUACUGAUGGGCUUGAAUGAACUAGAGGUAGGCGGAAUGUGACAAGUAGCGGUGAAAUGCAUAGAUAUGUCACAGAACACCAAUUGCGAAGGCAGUUCACUAAGCUUGCAUUGACACUGAGGCACGAAAGCGUGGGGAUCAAACAGG